GAUGAACGCUGGCGGCGUGCCUAAUACAUGCAAGUCGAGCGAACGGACGAGAAGCUUGCUUUUCUGAUGUUAGCGGCGGACGGGUGAGUAACACGUGGAUAACCUACCUAUAAGACUGGGAUAACUUCGGGAAACCGGAGCUAAUACCGGAUAAUAUUUUGAACCGCAUGGUUCAAAAGUGAAAGACGGUCUUGCUGUCACUUAUAGAUGGAUCCGCGCUGCAUUAGCUAGUUGGUAAGGUAACGGCUUACCAAGGCAACGAUGCAUAGCCGACCUGAGAGGGUGAUCGGCCACACUGGAACUGAGACACGGUCCAGACUCCUACGGGAGGCAGCAGUAGGGAAUCUUCCGCAAUGGGCGAAAGCCUGACGGAGCAACGCCGCGUGAGUGAUGAAGGUCUUCGGAUCGUAAAACUCUGUUAUUAGGGAAGAACAUAUGUGUAAGUAACUGUGCACAUCUUGACGGUACCUAAUCAGAAAGCCACGGCUAACUACGUGCCAGCAGCCGCGGUAAUACGUAGGUGGCAAGCGUUAUCCGGAAUUAUUGGGCGUAAAGCGCGCGUAGGCGGUUUUUUAAGUCUGAUGUGAAAGCCCACGGCUCAACCGUGGAGGGUCAUUGGAAACUGGAAAACUUGAGUGCAGAAGAGGAAAGUGGAAUUCCAUGUGUAGCGGUGAAAUGCGCAGAGAUAUGGAGGAACACCAGUGGCGAAGGCGACUUUCUGGUCUGCAACUGACGCUGAUGUGCGAAAGCGUGGGGAUCAAACAGGAUUAGAUACCCUGGUAGUCCACGCCGUAAACGAUGAGUGCUAAGUGUUAGGGGGUUUCCGCCCCUUAGUGCUGCAGCUAACGCAUUAAGCACUCCGCCUGGGGAGUACGACCGCAAGGUUGAAACUCAAAGGAAUUGACGGGGACCCGCACAAGCGGUGGAGCAUGUGGUUUAAUUCGAAGCAACGCGAAGAACCUUACCAAAUCUUGACAUCCUUUGACAACUCUAGAGAUAGAGCCUUCCCCUUCGGGGGACAAAGUGACAGGUGGUGCAUGGUUGUCGUCAGCUCGUGUCGUGAGAUGUUGGGUUAAGUCCCGCAACGAGCGCAACCCUUAAGCUUAGUUGCCAUCAUUAAGUUGGGCACUCUAAGUUGACUGCCGGUGACAAACCGGAGGAAGGUGGGGAUGACGUCAAAUCAUCAUGCCCCUUAUGAUUUGGGCUACACACGUGCUACAAUGGACAAUACAAAGGGCAGCGAAACCGCGAGGUCAAGCAAAUCCCAUAAAGUUGUUCUCAGUUCGGAUUGUAGUCUGCAACUCGACUACAUGAAGCUGGAAUCGCUAGUAAUCGUAGAUCAGCAUGCUACGGUGAAUACGUUCCCGGGUCU
rnacentral:rRNA from 1 species